UACAGAGGUCUCAACCGUUGUUCGGAUUCAUUGGGCGUAAAGGGUGCGUAGGCGGUCGUGCAAGUCGGAUGUGAAAUCUCAGGGCUCAACCCUGAAACUGCCAUUGAUACUAUUUGUCUUGAAUACUGUGGAGGUCAGCGGAAUAUGUCAUGUAGCGGUGAAAUGCUUAGAUAUGACAUAGAACACCAAUUGCGAAGGCAGCUGGCUACACAAAUAUUGACACUGAGGCACGAAAGCGUGGGGAUCAAACAGG
rnacentral:rRNA from 1 species